rnacentral:rRNA from 1 species
AUUGAACGCUGGCGGCAGGCUUAACACAUGCAAGUCGAGCGAGCGGCGGACGGGUGCGUAAUGUCUGGGAAACUGCCUGAUGGAGGGGGAUAACUACUGGAAACGGUAGCUAAUACCGCAUACCAUCAGAUGUGCCCAGAUGGGAUUCGCUAGUGGGUGGGGUAAUGGCUCACCUAGGCGACGAUCCCUAGCUGUUCUGCGAGGAUGACCAGCCACACUGGAACGGAGACACGGGCCAGACUCCAUCGGGAGGCAGCAGUGGGGAAUAUUGCACAAUGGGCGCAGUCCGGAUGCAGCCAUGCCGCGUGUGGGAAGAAGGCCUUGGGGUUGUAAAGCACUUUCAGCGAGGAGGCGUUACUCGCAGAAGAAGCACCGGCUAACUCCGUGCCAGCAGCCGCGGUAAUAC